rnacentral:rRNA from 1 species
UACGAAGGGGCUAGCGUUGCUCGGAAUCACUGGGCGUAAAGGGUGCGUAGGCGGGUCUUUAAGUCAGGGGUGAAAUCCUGGAGCUCAACUCCAGACUGCCUUUGAUACUGGAGCUUGAGUCCGGAGAGGUGAGUGGAACUCCGAGUGGUAGAGGUGAAUUCGAUAGAUAUUCGCAAGAACACCAGUGGCGAAGGCGGCUCACUGGCCCGGUACUGACGCUGAGGCACGAAAGCGUGGGGAGCAAACAGG